rnacentral:rRNA from 1 species
UACGUAGGGGGCUAGCGUUGUCCGGAAUCAUUGGGCGUAAAGCGCGUGUAGGCGGUCCGGUAAGUCCGCUGUGAAAGUCGGGGCUCAACCCUCGAAUGCCGGUGGAUACUGUCGGGCUAGAGUGCGGAAGAGGCGAGUGGAAUUCCUGGUGUAGCGGUGAAAUGCGCAGAUAUCAGGAGGAACACCUAUUGCGAAGGCAGCUCGCUGGGACGUAACUGACGCUGAGACGCGAAAGCGUGGGGAGCAAACAGG